rnacentral:lncRNA from 1 species
UUUUUCUUAAUUUUCUUAAAAUAAUAUUUCUGAAAAAUAUAGUUUUUUCUAUCCUCUUUCCCUUUACCAUUUUAGAUUCAUUACCUAGAGAAAAUCAAAUAAAAGAAUCCUUAAUUAGUCUCAACUUUCAAACAUGAAAGUCUUUGCAAAGUAUUUUUGAUCUGAAUUUGUCCUCAAUUAUAAGGUUUUUUUUUUCAUCUUCAUUGAUUCCAAAUUAGGAAACAUAUAUAUACACUACCCUACAUAUAUAAUUAACAACACUUUGCAUUCCCUCUGCUGGUAAUAUUCAGUUGCAUGAUAAAAAAGUACCAAUCUAUAAUAAUUACCUUCUGAAAUUUAAUCAGUUUGAGUCAGGGAUCUGGCUAAUUAUAGUUCAUCUGUUACAACACAAAACUUAAAAAUGGAAAAGCCCUAAAAAGUGUUGUCAAUUAUCAUCUAGUAUACUUUAUUUGAUUGAAACAAAAACAGAAAGAAAAAAAAAAGAACUAUACAUGCAUAAGGAAAAGGAGAAAAAAAGAAGGAAGACACAUGAACAUGAUUUUACCUGUUUGUGAUGUAGGUUCUUUGAUCAAAUAAACUAAAAGGAAAGUAACUUUAUCCUUCAGAAGCUCUUUUUUUCUCUCCAAGUGAGAAAGUAGUCUAAGCUAAGAGAAGAAACCCUAAUUGAAAGAGAGGAAGUUGAGAUGAGUGAUAGUGAGAGGCAUAGAGAGAGAUUGAGAUGUGAAAGGUGAUAUAAGUUAGUGGAAAAAGGUGAUAGCUAGUAGAAGGGAAAACAGAAACAGCAUUGAGUGGAUGGAGAAGGAAAGGAUGCAAAAGACAAAGGUAAUAAAUGGAGGUAUAUAGACUAGAGAAUAACCUAUGAUGUUGUUGUAUAUAGACUAAUA